rnacentral:rRNA from 1 species
GUAGGGAAUAUUGGGCAAUGGAGGCAACUCUGACCCAGCCAUGCCGCGUGCAGGAAGACGGUCCUCUGGAUUGUAAACUGCUUUUGAAUGGGAAGAACAUACGGUUUGCGAACCGUACUGACGGUACUAUUAGAAUAAGCACCGGCUAACUCCGUGCCAGCAGCCGCGGUAAUACGGAGGGUGCAAGCGUUAUCCGGAUUUAUUGGGUUUAAAGGGUGCGUAGGCGGCCUUAUAAGUCGGUGGUUAAAGGUAGCAGCUUAACUGUUUUACAUGCCAUCGAUACUGUAGGGCUUGAGUGAUUUGGAGGUAGCUAGAAUUCCCUGUGUAGCGGUGAAAUGCAUAGAUACGGGGAGGAAUACCGAUUGCGAAGGCAUGUUACUACGAAUUAACUGACGCUGAGGCACGAAAGCGUGGGGAUCAAACAGGAUUAGAAACCCGAGUAGUCC